UGCUCCUUCAUACAUAUCCUUUAUAGCUUGGAUAUAUGCUACUCGUACUCCUUUCUUCUCUAAAAUCCUCCAAAUAAUGUCUCUUGGGACCCUAUCAUACGCUUUUUCCAAAUCUAUAAAGACCAUGUGUAAAUCCUUUUUCCCAUCUCUAUAUCUUUCCAUCAAUCUUCGUAAGAGAUAGAUUGCCUCCAUGGUUGAGCGCCCUGGCAUGAACCCGAAUUGGUUGUCCGAAAUCCGUGUCUCUUGCCUCAAUCUAUGCUCAAUGACUCUCUCCCAGAGCUUCAUUGUAUGACUCAUUAGCUUAAUACCCUUAUAGUUCAUGCAAUUUUGUACGUCGCCCUUAUUCUUGUAGAUAGGCACCAAAGUGCUCGUUCGCCACUCAUUUGACAUCUUCUUCGUUUUCAAAAUCCUAUUGAAAAGGUCAGUGAGCCAUGUUAUACCUGUCUCUCCCAAAAGUUUCCACACUUCGAUUGGUAUAUCGUCUGGGCCUAUUGUUUUUUUAUGCUUCAUCUUCUUCAAAGCUACAACCACUUCUUCCUUCCGGAUUCGACGAUAAAAAGAGUAGUUUCUACACUCUUCUGAGUUACUCAACUCCCCUAAAGAAGCACUCAUUUCAUGUCCUUCAUUGAAGAGAUUAUGAAAAUAACCUCUCCAUCUGUCUUUAACCGCGUUCUCUGUAGCAAGAACCUUUCCAUCCUCAUCCUUGAUGCACCUCACUUGGUUUAGGUCCCUUGUCUUCUUUUCCCUUGCUCUAGAUAGUUUAUAGAUAUCCAACUCUCCUUCUUUGGUAUCUAGUCGUUUAUACAUAUCGUCGUAAGCCGCUAACUUAGCUUCUCUGACAGCUUUCUUCGCCUCUUGCUUCGCUUUUCUAUACCUUUCACCAUUUUCAUCGGUCAUCUCCUUGUAUAAGGCUUUACAACAUUCCUUCUUAGCCUUCACCUUUGUUUGUACCUCCUCAUUCCACCACCAAGAUUCCUUUUGGUGUGGGGCAAAGCCCUUGGACUCUCCUAAUACCUCUUUUGCUACUUUUCGGAUACAACUAGCCAUGGAAUCCCACAUUUGGCUAGCUUCCCCCUCUCUAUCCCACACACAUUGGGUGAUUACCUUCUCUUUGAAAAAUGGCUUGUUUUUCUUCUUUUAGAUUCCACCAUCUAGUCCUUGGGCACUUCCAAGUCUUGUUCUUUUGUCUUACUCUUUUGAUAUGUACAUCCAUCACCAACAAGCGAUGUUGAUUAGCCACGCUCUCUCCUGGUAUAACUUUGCAAUCCUUACAAGUUAUACGAUCCCCUUUCCUCAUUAGAAGAAAAUCUAUUUGUGUUUUUGACGACCCACUCUUGUAGGUGAUCACAUGUUCUUCUCUCUUCUUAAAGAAGGUGUUGGCUAAGAAGAGAUCAUAUGCCAUUGCAAAAUCCAAGAUAGCUUCCCCAUCCUCGUUUCUCUCCCCAAAACCAUGGCCACCAUGAAAACCUCCAUAGUUGCCUGUCUCCCUGCCCACGUGUCCAUUUAAAUCUCCUCCUAUAAAUAACUUCUCCGUCUGAGCAAUUCCUUGCACCAAGUCUCCAAGAUCUUCCCAAAAUUUCUCCUUCGAACUCGUAUCCAACCCUACUUGAGGUGCGUACGCACUAAUCACAUUGAUAAGUUCUUGUCCUAUUACAAUCUUGAUUGCCAUGAUUCUAUCUCCUACCCUCUUGACAUCUACAACAUCUUGUACCAAGGUCUUGUCCACGAUGAUGCCAACACCGUUUCUCGUUCUAUUUGUGCCCGAAUACCAAAGUUUAAACCCUGAGUUUUCUAGAUCCUUUGCCUUACUACCAACCCACUUAGUUUCUUGUAGGCACAUAAUAUUUAUCCUUCUCCUCACCAUCCUUACUACCAACCCACUUAGUUUCUUGUAGGCACAUAAUAUUUAUCCUUCUCCUCACCAUAACUUCCACUACUUCCAUAGAUUUUCCCGUUAAGGUUCCUAUAUUCCACGUUCCUAAACGCAUUUUGCUCUCUUGAACUCUACCCUUCUGUCCUAGCUUCUUCAGGGUCUGGGAGAGGUGAAUGUCGGCUAGCCUUACCCCCAUUUUAUGGAGAGCCUGCUCCCAAGUCUCGAACCCGAGACCUACCGCUCAUGGGCGAAGGCACUUGCCAUCGCACCAAGUGCGACCAGAGUGAGUAAACAAUAUUGAACCAAAUACACAUGAAUAAUUGAUUGGAGAUAAAAAUAAAAAUUACCUCUGAUAUCUGGAAUAUGAUAAAUCUUUGGCCAUUCUGGGCCACUGUUCUUGGCGCAUCUUUCUGCCAGACGUUGGUGAUUGGUAUUUAGUCUUUGGUUACUAUUAUCUUUAGUAAAUGGAGUAGACUUGUACUUGAAAGUUGAUGACCAAAUUGACAACUGCCUCCUCUUCAUUUGGCUGCAAUGAAAUCCUAACUAGCUACCCAGCAAAUGGUGUUGUCAUGGAACCUGCAUUUGUGGAAUAUGAACAUCUGGAAUUCACUCAAGGUGAAUUAUGGUAUGGUGAAAUCGUAACAUGAGUUUCUUCAUUUGAGCCUGGAGUUCCUUCUCGAUGCCUAGACACCUCCAUUUCCAGAAAUUGUGUUAGUUGGCACAUCACAAAACUCAUGGUGGCUCUAUGUUGGGAGGUAUGCAAAGCUGCCUCUGAUGCUUUCCAGACCGAAUUCACAUUGAACUCUCCUCGAAGCCCUUGAUCCAAAAUAGUUGUUCAAUUCCCGUUCUGGAACUCAAGAUUCACCUACUCCACUAUGUGGACAAGAUCAUCAUUUUCUAUGAUUGCAGGUUGGCUAGUAAAACCCUAAACAUCAAUUUUUUUUUUCCUUCAACCUUGCUAAUUAUAGUAUCUGCAGACCAAAUAAAGUAAUCAUAGAUCACUCACUGCUCAUAGAAUUCACAUUGAACUCUCCUCGAAGCCUUUGAUCCUAAAUAGUUGUUCAAUUCCCGUUCUGGAACUCAAGAUUCACCCGCUCCACUAUGUGGACAAGAUCAUCAUUUUCUAUGAUUGCAGGUUGGCCAGUAAAACCCUAAACAUCAAUUUUUUUUUCCUUCAACCUUGCUAAUUAUAGUAUCUGCAGACCAAAUAAAGUAAUCAAAGAUCACUCACUGCUCAUAGAUUUUUUUUUUUUUUUAACAUGAUCAAAAUUCUAAGAACAGUAGAACACGAAAUCUGAACAUGCUCGGAAUCAAGAUACCUUGCUGUGCCCAUGAACGAUGCCACCAGAGUCUCAUUGUCACUGGGAAAAACCAUGGACAGACCAAAAUCUGCUAUUUUGCAUCCAAGUUUUAAUUCAGGAGAAUGUUGGCAGUCUUUACAUCUCUAUGCACAAUACUGGAUUGUGAAUAUAUAGUAGCACAAAAAAUAACACUAAGCACCUAUCUAACGCAAUAUCUAAUGCCAUCCAAAGUCUCAUUUCCCAAGUUUAUGUGAGCUCCUAUCUGCUUCUGCAACCAUUAACGUGACACUUCAAUAUUUUGAAACCCUCUGUUGGAGGACAAUGCUAUGUAAAAUAUAGAAUUACAUACCUGAUCAGAGAUAUUCUUUUAGGUUUUCAUUAGGCAUGUACUUGUAUAUAAGUGCCAACUUGUCAGUAUCACACAGUAUCCAAUAAACGAGGCCAAGUUUCUAUGAUGGAUUCUCAUCGGGAGCUCAACCUGCAGCCACAAGGAACUCAUCAAUCUCUAACCAAAGAGACAAGGCAUUUAACUUGCAUCCAAGGAAUUAAAUUCAAACUGUCAAACCUCUGUUUGGAACUCCCUAGCUGAGCUAGCUCCUUGAGAUGACGAUGUAGAACCACAACUUGAGUGCCAUAUUUCAACUAGCCAUGGUAUACAAUCCCAAAUCCUCCUUUCCCGAUUUCCGUUUUAAAGAUUUCGGUGAUUUCUAAAACCUCGUCAUAAGUGAACUAGGACUUCUGAUGCUACAGGAGUUUUGUUACGUGUUUCUCCAUCUGCAGCUCAAGUAGACAAAAAGAUAUGAGUUCAGACUAACUGGUUAGGAAUACCACUACACCAUAGUAGGAGCGCCGGUUCUAAUUGAAUUAAGUAUCAAAAAGAUAUGAGUUCAGACUAACUGGUUAGGAAUACCACAACACCAUUUGCUUUGGUUAAAGAAAAUGCUAACCUAUUCGGUGCUCUCCAUGAAUGAAACUUGCACAGAGCAGUAGGACAAGGAAAUCAAUUGAGAUCAUCUUCUCUCUUUGUCUCACUGCAGCCUAUGAACUACCUGGUAUUUAUUAUGCGUGACAAUGUUCUGACCAAAAAAGCAGAAAAACGUAUAUGACAGUGUGGAUUUGUACCUUAUGCUGCACAACUUUACAUGAAAUCAUUCUAGGUGAAAUCGUAAUAUGAGUUUCUUCAUUUUAGACUGGAGUUCUUUGUUGAUGCGUAGACACCUCUAUUCCAUACAUUGUGUUAGUUGGCACAGCACAAAACCCAUGGUGGCUCUAUGUUGGCAGGUGAUAGUUGUGCAUGCCAUUGCUGUCUCUAAAGCUUUCCAGACUGAAUUCACAUCGAACUCUCCUCGAAUCAUUCGAUACAAAAUAGUUGUUAAAUCCCAUUCUGGAACUCAGGGUUCACCCACUGCACUAUGUGGACAAAAUCAUCACUUUCUAUGAUUGCAGGUUGGCCAGUAAAACAGUAAAAAUCAAUUUUUUUAAUGCAACCCUUGAUAACUAUAGUACCUGCAGACCAAAAAAUGUAAUCACAAAUAAACCACUCACUGUUCAUACAUUUGUGUUUAUAACAUGAUAAAAAAUCUAAUAGCACAUGGAAAUUUGAACAUACUCUUGAUCAAGAUAACCUGCUCUGCCCAUGACCGAUGUCACCACACAAGUCUCAUUAUCACUGGAAAAAAAACCAUGGACAGACCGAAAUCUGCUAUUUUGUGCAUCUAAGUUUCCGUUAUGCUGUGCUUGCUCUCCCCUCCUAAUGCAAUUCUCUUACUGGAAUCCCUUCUUAAGUGAGCUGAAAUACAAAUCCAAUUUUAUCUGUGAUUAAUGUAUUCUAGAUAACUUGACAUGGUUUCAUUCAAGGAUGAAUGCUUUGAACAAAGAAGUUACAUAUUGACAAAACAGAUUACCUUCCAUAAAAUUGGUCUAAUAAAACUCUGUGAGUUGAGAGGACGUGCACACAGUGAGAAGAAGCACAACCUUGUACAAAAGUGCAUCUGCACCAUAACAAGUAAAAACCAUGCGCAACAUGCCUUAGAACAUAUUUGCAAACCAAAUGGAACUAAGACAAGAGAAGAGAACAAAUCAUGAAUUACAGUUUCGGGAAAGAAACCUACACUUGACUGUGGGAAAUGCGAGAAAUCUUGGGCUUGUUUGAAUUUAGAACGCAAUAGUAAAAUUUGGAUUGGCUUCCCUACUGCAGAUAGAUAGUUGAGAUUCCCACAACGGUGAAUAGAUAGAUGGUGGAUUCAUGAAAGGUUCCGUCAUCACUCUGGUAAGAGCCUUUUCAAUCAUCAAGUGACAAUCAUCUAAUUCUGCAGAAAACGAGAGUGGAUGAAGAAUUUUGAACAAAAUAUACAUGGAUAAUUGAUUGGCCCCAAAAAUAAAACUUACCUCAGAUCUGGAAUGUGAUAAAUCUUUGGCCAUUCUGGGCCGCUGGCCAAAAAUAAAUCUUUGGCGCAUCUUUCUGCCAGACGGGGACACCCAUGAAUCACUAGAUUAUGUAAUUUGGUUAGGCGUUGCGUAGCUUCGACCGUAGGCAGAUACAUCAGGUCCUUGCAGUACCAAAUUCCCAACUUAGUAAGAGAUGUGAGGUUGCCCAACCACUCUGGAAGAGCCUCCAGACCAUCGAAAUCCCAAAUUUCCAACUUAGUUAGAGAAGCAGAGUGUUGAAUUUGCUGAGGCAGAGACUUGAGCUUAGGCCACCCCUUCAAUUUUAAUUCUUCAAGUUUCGAUGGGACCUGAAAAUCAGGGAAAGAAUCGAGCUCUUGGCAGAAGGCACCGAUCGACAACACUUCCAAACGAGAUAGAGAGUGCAGCCCCUUGGGCAAAUAUUGUAAUUUCCCACAAUUACAUAAUUCCAAACGAGAUAGAGAUUGCAAGCUGGACACAUUGUGAUCCGCCAGAGAUAUCAAAUUGGAGCAAUUACUGACCCUUAAUUCGGUAAGAGAUGUGCAGUAUGCAAGCCCACUCGGUAGACUUAUUAAUCCAUCACAUCGAUAAAUAAUGAACUCAGUGAGGGACGUGAGGUUGUCUAAACUGGGAAUAGCCUCUAGAUUAGGGCAUUCACUGACGCACAAACAGGUAAGAGAUGUGCAGUAUGCAAGCCCACUCGGUAGACUUAUUAAUCCAUCACAUCUCCUAAUUUCUAAAUUAGUGAGGGACGUGAGGUUGUCUAAACUGGGAAUAGCCUCUAGAUUAGGACAAUCCCGUAUUUCCAUCUUCUCAAGAGAGACGGGGGUUUGUAGCCCAUGACCCGACAAAGUCCUCAAAUUUCGACAAUCCCGGAUACACAGUGUGCGAAGACUAGUACAGGAAGGGAGCCCACUCAGUAUACUUGUGAAUCCAUCACAUUCCCAAAUAAUCAAAUCAGUGAGGGACGUGAGGUUGUCUAAACUGGGAAUAUCCUCUAGAUUACAGCAAUAGCUGACAUCCAAACGGGUAAGAGAUGUGCAGUAUGCAAGCCCACUCGAAAGACUUAUUAAUCCAUCACAUCCCCUAAUAAUCAACUCAGUGAGGGACGUGAGGUUGUCUAAACUGGGAAUAUCCUCUAGAUUACAGCAAUAGCUGACAUCCAAAUGGGUAAGAGAUGUGCAGUAUGCAAGCCCACUCGAAAGACUUAUUAAUCCACCACAUCCCCUAAUAAUCAACUCAGUGAGGGACGUGAGGUUGUCUAAACUGGGAAUAGCCUUUAGAUUAGGGCAAUCCCAUAUUUCCAUCUUCUCAAGAGAGACGGGGGUUUGUAGCCCAUGACCUGACAAAGUCCUCAAAUUUGGACAAUGCCGAAUACUUAGUGUGCGAAGACUGGUACAAGAAUGGAGCCCACUCAGUAUACUUGUAAAUCCAUUGCAAUUUUCAAUAAACAAAUCACGGAGGGAUGUGCAACCGUUUAAAGACAACUCCUCCACCUGCUGUUGUUGUUGUAGGUUUUCCGACUCCUCAAGAGACGUACAUUUUUUAAUAACCAAUUUGCAGAGUGAGGGCAGACUGUGAAUUGAAGUGCAUCUUAGCUUUGGGCAACCAACUAUUUUGAACUCCUGAAGAGAUUGGGAUGGUGAAAUUUGGAAGGAUUCUAGAUUGCUGCAAUCCUCAAUUUCCACCGUCUCAAGUGAUGGGCAAUAUUCUAACCCACAACACAAGCUCGAAAAUUUCUCACAGCUCAUAAUUCUCAAUUUACGGAGGGAUGUGCAACCGUUUAAAGACAAGUCCUCCACCUGCUGAUGUUGUUGUAGGUUUUCCGACUCCUUAAGAGACGUACAUUUUUCAAUAACCAAUUUGCGGAGUGAAGGCAGACUGUGAAUUGAAGUGCAUCUUAGCUUUGGGCAACCAACUAUUUUCAACUCCUGAAGAGAUUGGGAUGGUGAAAUUUGGAAGGAUUCUAGAUUGCUGCAAUCCUUAAUUUCCACCGUCUCAAGUGAUGGGCAAUAUUCUAACCCACAACACAAGCUCGACAAUUUCUCACAGCUCAUAAUUCUCAAUUGACGGAGAUUGGUUACUUGACAAUUUCUCAUCAUCCAAGAUGCAAAUUUAGUACCCUUGAAUUCCUCAAUCGUCAAGCUUUUUAAGUUGGGGUGUGGUUGAAGCCCUUCAAGAAUAUCCUCGUCAAGAAAAUUGCCAUUUCUUUCUUUCCCCCAUUUUAAUAUCAAUUUUUGUAAGUAUGCUUUUUCCACUAAUUUUGAUUUCAUUGCUUCUUCCUUGUCUCUCACAUAUUCCAAUGCUCCAAUAACUAGUUUCCCUUUCAAUUCAUUUAACCCGCCCAGCUCAUCAAGUCUAUGACGCCUAUCUUCAUCCAAAUUAAAGGAAGGUAGCGUUUGAAGAUGAGUCAAUCUUGUCAUCCCAAAUGGAACUUCCACAUUAUUGUCGAAAUAAACAUGUCUCAAGUUGAUCAAAUUUUCCAUUUCCCUAGGAAACGUUUUAAGAGCCCACAUCCUUGACAUUCUUAACGUUUGAAGAUUAUACAGCUUGCCAACAGAUUUAGGGAGUUCUUUCAUUUCUGUCUCGGAAAUGUUGAGAUACCUCAAGCGUUUCAACUUUCCAAUUGAACUGGGCAACUCCUCUAUUUCAACACGGAAUAAAUUCAACGUUCGUAAAGCUCUAAACUUUUGGAAGAUGUUACUGAACUCAAAGCGUCGUGGAGGAAACAACGACCGCAAUCUCCUUUGUGGAAAUCUGUCGAGUGUUGUGGAAGAAAUUCGGGCAACAUGUUGAAUCUCAUCAAGUGCUCCAACAUCCAUCUGAUCCAAGUCUCGUGUCAAGCUUUCAAAUUUGAAUACUUUCUCAGCAAGAUCAUGCACAAGAUCGUGCAUCGUGCAUAUGGUAUACCCAUGGUCAUCUUCUCUUUCUCUUCUAUGUGCAUACUCAUGGUUUCUAGCAUCUUGAAAUAAAGAGUUUUGCAAUAGAAUAUUAAAAUGUUCAUUACCUUUAUCCUCCAUGGGAGAAGAAUGGAGAUAUCCUUGAGCCAUCCAAAGUUGGACCAAGUCAUCUUUGUCAAUUUCACAAUCUUUUUCAAACAUUGAGCAAUAUGCAAAACAUUGCUUCAAUGAUGGCUCUCUUAAAUUAUCAAAACUCAACUUCAAGAUCGACAUGAUUUGGUCAUCUCCAUCUCGUAAUUCCCAUAUUUUACUUUCUAGAAUUGACGACCAUUCCUGUGAACGCAUCAAGCUUCCUAAAACCUGUUGAUACAUAAGAUAAUUAGUUUCUAUAUGUUUUACAAUAUAAAAAGCUCAUUAGCAAAAUAAUAACAGUGCCAAAUUAUAGUUUUAUUGAAUUUUGACUAUAGUUAUUGGCAAGAUAAAGACGCAUUGAACUCAACUUUGUUUUGUAUCGAUGAAUAGUCAAAGACUGCUCUUGUUAGAAGAGAAAUACAAAAGGGACUUUCUAGCCAAGUAAGAAUUGGUCUCAGAAUUAAUUGAAAGAUACUUUAUUAGAUCAGUUAAAUAUAAGUUUUAAUUUUUUAGUACCUCAAUAUAUUUUUACACUAAAGGGAUGGAGAGUUCGGCUAAACUACACAACAGACAAUUUAAUUUGGUAUCGAAUUCGUCAUCCACAAGAUUUGAACCUAAGGUCUCUUACUUCCAAGUGAAGAGGAAUACUUGAUACUGUAGUACUAAGAGGCUAUAAGUGUCAAUUAGAUACUUAAGAUAACUGAGUAAUUGAAUGGUUCGUAACAAUGCACUAGGAAGGUAGUAUUUUGAAGGAGUGCUUUGAUCCACAUUUUCUAGAGUGUUUACAUGUAUAUAUAAGGUUAAGAUUCAGAGACACUCAUUUUUGAAACAUAUUUUAACAUAAGUUUUCGUGGCUUUCAUUCUGUAAUUUUUUUUUCAAGGAUCUCAAUCAUUUAUAUUUCAAUUAAUCAUUCAUAGAUCUUUCGUGUAAAAAAUUAGACAAUUCCAAACUCAUUUUGACAUUUAUUUGUAGUGAAGAAAAAAGCCGCUACAAUUCUACAAAGAUACACUAAAUUUACGCAGUCGUGCGAUAAGUGAACUAUUCUUUCGCCUUUUACUAAAGAAACACUAAAUUUGAUCCAAUGGUCAUAUGACUUCAGAUUUGGAUGAUUUUUUUUUAUAUAGAUGAUAUUUUAGGGAAGACGUAAAAUAUAAGAUGGUUAGAUCGUUGAAAUACAUUACACACACACAAUAUAUAUAUAGGCCCCCUAAGGGAAGGGAUCCUUUUUUUUUUAAAAAAAAUGGACACUCUUUUGACUGUUAGAUUUAGCUUUAAUGAAAUUAUGUGGUUGAGAUUAAAUCACAGGCCACAGAAUUUCAUUAAAGCCAAAUCUAAUGGUCAAGAGGGUGUCCCCAUUUUUUAAAACUUACAAGAAAUGUGAACUACGAAUGACUUGAGAAAUUUUAAAACUUACAAGAAAUGUGAACUACGAAUGACUUAAUCUCGUCUUUGAGUACAUGAGACAUAAAGGUUAGAUGCAUCCAUGUGAUAAAAGAGAAGUUACUACGUUAUUGACCUGUUGGUUUGUUUUUUGCCAUGUCUUAGAAAUGAGACAUGACAGUUAGGUAGGUACAUUCUAAAGUCACAUGUCGGUCCUGUAGAAAUCUCCGAAUGGGAUUCUACUAAGUACAAAUUCUUUAUAGAGGAAGCUAGCAAUGUACGUCUUGGACACAUUCCUAUUGCGACCCAUUUUUGUGUGUAAUUAAUGUCGCAUAUUACAAACUUAUUUCUAAACCACUCAUUCAUCGUUCAAGACCCAAGAAGUUUUUAUUCCCAUUCGAUUGAUUGAUUUAACAUGGGAUAUGGGAUAGAUGUUAUAGAAACCAACCACUUGAAUCAUAUUUUACAGAUCACAUGAUGUGUUAGCUCAUGGUUGGAUUCAUUCUUUAAAGAGUGGUGAUAUUCCCACCCCGGUGUCUUAUUUCCCCACCCACCAUUUAAUGAAAAUGUUAAUAACAUAUUUAUCCUUUUAAAAGAAGACUCUUAAACCCCUAUUUAAUUCAGUAAUAAAAUCUUGAAAAAACAAAAAAUAAUUUAAAAUAAUAAAUAAAUAAUGGUAGAUGGGGUGUGAUAUCUUUGGUGGAAAGAGGUUGGGAAAGAUUUGGGUUAGAAUCGACGGAAAGGUUGGAGGAAUGAAUGGGCGUGUGCUAGACGAAGGCGAGAAACUUCAAUGGACAAAAAAGAGAAUUGAGUGUGAGAUCUGCGGUUUUGACAAAAUAGGAGGAAGAAGAGUGGUUUGGGGGUCCGAGGUCUCUGCAGGACGACGAUAGGUGUGAAGGAGAUGAUGAAUGUCUAGGUCUUAGGUCUUGCAUUUUCUUUCAUUUUUUUCUAUUUUUAUUUAUUUAUUUAUAAUAUUAUUUAAAAAUAUAUUAGAGUUAUUUAAAAAAAUAUAUUAUGGUUAUUUUGGGAAUAAUGGUGGGUGGGGAAAUAACAUUUUACUUUUUUAAUUUUUUUAUGAUGGGUGGGAUUAUCAUGUGGGUGGGAAAAUAGGACAUUAGGGUGGGUCUAAUAACACUCUUCUUUAAAUCAUUAAAUAAACAAUCCAACCAUCAAUCGCUACAUCAUAGGAUCUAAAUACGGUCUCCUACUACCUAUCUUAAAUUGCAACAAAACUUGAUACGGAAAACAGUUUGUUUUAUAAUCGUUAUCGAUUAGCAUCAUCUUUCUCUAUGAUUAAAACAGUUCGGCUUUAAUGACACUAGGACCAAAUCUUAAAAUCGUUAUCAAUUAGCAUCAUCUUUCUCCUGAACCCCAAUCAUCAAGAAAAUAGUGGUAAUUACUGUUAGAUCUUAAUCCAACAAUAUAAAAAGGGAACUAUUAUCUGCACUCCACAAAUUUCAUUAUACACUCCUCACAAGUGUAUUUUUCUUUUUAAUUAUAAAAAACUUGGAGUGCAAAAUGAGAUUUUUGGAAUGAUAAUAACAAUUCCCUAUAAAAAAAAUCACAACAAAAAAAUGAACUAAGCACUAAUAGUUAGUUUAAGAUCGAACGGCGGAUGACCAUGCAUGGUCACUAGGCUCUUGGAGAACAAUUAUAUUGGGUUUGAUAUGGUCUCUUCUGUUUGUGGUUAAUUCGCUAUUCAAUCGUAUUGACUUCAAACCUCUGUCGCUCAGAGAAAUAGAGGAAAGAAAUCGAGCAAAAUUUCAAAGCCAAUUCUAUGUUUGUCUCCUCUAAGAAAUUUAUAGUAAUAUUGUUGAUGUAAUUAAAUUACUCCAUAUUUGUAUAGUUUAUAAUUUAACAUUUGUUUAUACGACUGUAUGCAUAACGUUUUUCUAUUCCUCACCCUUUUCUUUUCCUUUUUGUUUUUACUUUCUUUUCGUCUUCUUUCUCCUUCGUUUUGUUCUAAAACAUUUUCUUGAUUAGAAUUUAUUGCAUCAUGAAAUCUUCUUCAUUUUUUUGUGGUUUGCUAGUUAUCUUUUUAGUUUUUUACCUCACGCAUCAUCUAUUUUGUAUUUUAUUCAAUUUUUUCCUCAUGGAUUAUCUACCUGUGAUGUAGGUCUCCUAAUUUUUUUUCUUUUAUGGAAGGUUUCCUCUACUUAGCAUGUUAUUUAUCUACCUAUAACACAUGAUUUUUUUAAAGGAGACUUUGGAUGUGGUCCUUAGUUAUGAAUAUUCUUUGAUUGAAAUCUUGUUGGUUUUUAAUUUUUGAUCGAGAUCAUUGAAAUUAAUGUGAUAAUUUAUUUCUUUUUACGUUACUAUAUUAUUUUAAAUUAUAAAUUAGAAAUUUUAGUUGUUUAUAUAAAUGAGAUUUUAAAUAAAUAAAAAACAUAAUUUGUGGGAUUAAAAAUAUAAAUAUACUAUUGUGUGUGUGUAUACAUGGGUUCAUUCAUCAAAAUUAACCAAAAACUUUAUUGUAUCAAAACAUGGGUACAUUCUUCAAAAAUCACAAAAAAAAAGAUAUUAGUUUAAUAACAUUAGUAAAUUUCUUCGAUUAAACUUGACAUGGAUACAUUUUAAAAUCAAAGAAAAAAGAAUAUACCCAUAUAAGUUUAAAAAUGGAUUAGAAAAAAAAUUGAAUAGAUUUUAUAUAAAAAAAGGGUACAUUUUACAUAUAAAAAUUGGUAUAUUUAAGAAUGAGUACAUUUUAAGAUUAAAAAGUUUUACAUGAAUGGGUACAUAUAAUUAGCAUUGGUACAUUUAGCAAAAUAAAAAGUACAAAUAAAAAUAUAUAUAUGGGUACAAAUACAAAUAAACUUUAAAAAAUAUGGGUACAAAAAGAAAUUAAUAUAUGGGUACAAAUUAAAACUGAAAAGAAAAUUGGUACAAGUUAAAAAAAAUUACAACUUAAAAAUGGUAACAAACUAAAACUAAAAAUAUAUGAUAAAAAAUUUAGUCAUAAAUAUAAAUAUACUAAUUGUAACAUUUUUAACAAUAAAUGAAUAUAUUUAGAAAUAAAAAAAUAUUUUAUUAUUGAAAUAAUUAAUGAUGUUAUUAAUACCCAAAAACCUUUAAAAUUUUGAAAAUGAAUAGGAUUUUAAUCAAUAAAGUGGCAAAAUGAAAGAUGAAAAUCUAAUUUCUUUUUUUUUUUUUAAUCUACUUCUGUCACAGACUCACAGGUUUCCUAGAUAAAUGUAUGUUUGAAUUUGGAUAAAUAAUUAAAAUUUAAAAUUAUGUAACUAAUGCAUUAUUUAGGAGUUCAAUUAUCUGCUAUUUUUUUAAGGUGAAAUAGGAGUAAAAAGUAGUAGUUCCAACAAAAAAACAUAAUUGGACUCCCUAAAAUGCAGCCUAUGAUUUCGGGCUUCUAUCUAAAAACCCUAAUAUAAUAAUAUAUGAAUGCAUACCUUUGCCGCCAAUGGUAGACCAGCACACUUUUUAGCUAUGGCCCUUCCAAUGCACUCUUUAUCUGAAUCUAGAGAAGAUGGUAGUGCUUCACCCUUUAAUACAGACCAACAAUCCUCCUCCGAUAGGCCCUCCAAAUCACACCUCGGCAUUGUCUCAAUGAUUGGCAUUGUCUCAAAGAUUGAUGCAACAUUAGCACUACGGGUAGUAACAAUGGCAAUGCUUCCGGGACCAGAAUUGAGUUUCGACAAACAAUCCAUAAACUCCCUCCAAAAAUUCAUCUCUUCGUUCCAAACAUCAUCGAUUAUCAGAAUAUACCUAUUGUCUUUCAACUUUUCUGCGAGCUCCUUCAGCAAUGCUUCCCGAGCUGUAAGUCCUGCCUUCGUUGGGUCAAGGGAUUCUAACAUCCGAUUUAGAAUCGAAUUAACCUCAAAAGUGUCGGAUACACACACCCAUAUUUUUCAACAAAAGGCGUACAAAUAGCAUCAUCAUUGAAUAUUGAUUUUGCCAAAGUCGUCUUUCCGAGUCCUCCGAUUCCCACAACGGUCAUAACCGAAAGGUUCUUUUCCUGAGUCUUGGACAUCAAGAUUUUAAUGAUAUCCGACACAAUUUCCUCCCUUCCAAUGAUCUUGUCAUUCUGACAGAAUCUCGAGUCAGUUUCUCUGUUCCUCAUAAUUGGAGGAGGGGUAUGAUCUACUGGCCUUACAGCUAAGCCAAUGGAAGGUGCCUCACUCUUGAGACCCGCCAGGGACGCAUUGAUGUUCUUAAUCUUGUGUGCCAUCUUUUGACGAAAUAAAAUGGGAUUGGAGGGCGAAAAGAAGUUAAGUACCUUCUUCUUCAUGUGGUUUUCAAUUUCUACUUUACGCCGGAGAACUUCGUAGUUGAUGUCCUCCAAGACGUCAUCAGCAUCAUGAGCCACGUCUUUCAGUUUCUUGACCCAGUUUCUGACUGCCACGCUCCGAUCCUGUGGUUUGUGGGCAACAUCGCCUAAGUACUCUUGAAUCUCAAGUGACGAUUGACGAAGCUUAGUUAGCUCUUUAUUGAAUCCUCGGAAAAGACCAAUUUCUUGAGCAGCAAGUGAACCGACCGACUUCAGUAUUCCCUCCACCGGAUAAGUGAUGAUACCUUGUAGCACAUCCAUACUCGCGCGACAAAGGGAGAUUAGAGAGUAGAAGGCAGAGAACUGAGAGAAAGCCAAGGAAGGACACAAGAAGAGCGAAUAAGUUGAAUGAAAGGCUUAACAAUAAUUCAAGAAAAUGUAGUAUAAUAAGAAGAAAGGACCCUUAUAAUUGACGCCACUUUACAGCUGUGAGCGUGAACAUAAUGUUCAAGAGUGGAGUGUGGUCCAGCAAUAUAAACCCAUCUUGUCAGCAAAGAUUCUUUCUAAACAACUUUAGUCAAUAGUGGAGGCCGACUUUAAUAAAGUAAUGAGGAUUUAAUAUAAAAGAUGAAAAUGAGGUCUUGUUAUUUAGUAUUACGAUUUAAGAGAAGUUUUAGGUUCGAUUCUUGUUAAAGGUAAAGUUGAAUCACAUUAUUACUAAGCUCAUACCAUUCUUUUUAGUUUGGAUAAUAUUGUUUGUUUAUAAAUAAAUAAAUAAAAUAUAAACCCAUCUUAUUAGCAAAUGUGCUCUAAAAAUUAAUUACCUAGCAUUAUUCAUAUAAAAGAUAAAAGAUGACAACUUUCACUUAGAAAUUAUUGAAAAUACACUAAAACCUAAAGAUGCUGAUUCAACAUGAUAAACAACAGAAUUCGGGCUAAAAUGCUCAUAUAUCACAACAAAGCAGUGAAUUAAAUUUGUGAUUUUUCUGAAAAGCCGGUUCAAUACAUAAAACAACCAGAAUCCUCCUUGAGAGCAGCGUGGGCAAGUUCUUGAGCCACGGCUUUACCUACUGAAAUCUUUCUCCUAACAAGUGAGACGCCGGGUAACUUGUCACGCAUCCAAGGCCAUCUUGAGCCCUUCAUUGAACCCCACCAACAUAACGUCCGACUCUGUUCUAAUCAAACAUGGGCCCCACACGUCCCCACAUGGCACAUCCCCUGACCCCCGUCUUCCUCAAUUUCCCUCCAAGAAAGUUACACGGACAUCAACAUUCAAGCUGUAGUUUCAUCAUCCUUCCAACACGCAAUAUUUUAGUAUGCGCAUCGAAUAUUUUGAAUUUGAUUAGUUUUAGAGACUAAGCUAAAUUAAGUUAAAAUAAACUAAACUGAACUACUACGGUAAUACAUGUAAUGCAAUGUCACAUUAAGAAACAGAAUAAUUAAGAAAAGGGAAAAUGAAAAUGCAAUUACUUUGCUUUUAAAUCAACAUAAACUUUUUUCUCAAAUAAUUCAAGAAAAUGUGGAUAAGAAGAUGAGAGCAACAUAUAAAGAUGAUAGGACCCUUAUAAUUGAUGCCACUUUACACCUGUGAACUUGAUUUGGUGAGACUGAGCACUUUUCUAACCGUAGUGGAGGCAUAACAUGGCAAAAAAGUGUAAAGCAGAGCAAGAACACAUAAAUGUAAAUCCAUUGUAUCAGGAAAGAUUUUCUCUGGAUAACUUUAGACAAUAACUAGAAAUUAUGCCCGCACGUUGCUGCGGGAUUAGAAAUUGUAUAGAUAAAUAUGUUUAUAAAGAUUACAAUGCAUUCAAUCACUCGCAACCACAAUACACUAAUUAAAGAUGAAUUCAAAACUCUAAAUAAAUGUAAGUUCUCAUAUUUAAAUUCUGUCUCCAAGGUAAUCUUCUUGCUCGAAAACUUUGAUCCACAAAACCAAAUUACAUUUUUCAGCAAAAAAGACCACUUUAACAAACCAAAUACAAUACACAAACACAGCUAUUCAAUUUAGAUUGAUUUACAUCAUAAAAAGUUCAUUCAAACAACUAAACGGGCACAAAUAAAAAAAUUGAAAAACCAACCUUUUUCAAAUAGUAACUGCUUCCCAAUUCUUAGAACAAAAUGCUAUCAUCUUUUGAACCACACAACUUUCAUACAAUCAGAAAUCAUCAAACCCUUUCAUACCAUCAAGUUUGUGCAAAAAUAUAAAUACCAAAUCUCAAACUUAAAAGCCAAAAUUAAAAUUAGUUAAUAAAUUGUGAAUGUUUUGACGAUGGAUGAUUACGUUAUUAGGAGCGUCGUAAUUAGAUGAAAUAUGUGUGGUCUGCUCUGAUUGACUAAAAAAAGAGAAUACCAUUGAGAAUGGAGGGAGGGGCACAUUGACUUGACCCAAUAGAAUUGCAAAAAUGUAUUCACAAUUCGCAAAAGAAAGAACUCACUUGCUUAACAGGCGCAAGCACGCAAAAUUUGCCUGCAACUCUUUUGCCUGAAAAAUUAAGAACUCAAAUCAUGAGUACAGGAUUGAGUAAAACAGAACGCUGGAAUACAUAGAAACACGGAUAAUUCAAGCAUAAACUAUCUCUGAAAAAUUAAUACCUCAAGUUUGUUUUCCCAAUCUACACCAUAAAUAUUACUCAAAAUUGAACCAGCCUUGACAACAAACUGAGAAAACUCCUUGAAAAAAUCUACGAUGCUGUAAAACACCCCAAAAGUAGAAGAAAAUAAGAUGUCAAGAAUUCAUGAGCAGAUAAUUAUAAGCUAAAGGAAAGAAAGGAGAUUGGAAACAUACUUUAGCUUUGCAGCUCACAAAAUUUGGAAGAGAGAAAAUCCAUUAUCAUCAGAACUCUUCUGUGAAUUAUCCGAAUUCUUGUCAUUCAAAGUUUUUCCAGAGUACAAAACAAAAGCAAACCAGAAUCGUUUUGCUUCUUCAAGCAGUACAUAGAAAUGCAUUUAAGUUAGACCAAAUCCAGAUUAAAGCAAGUGUUCCAGCAAAGGGAUUCUAAAAGAACACCUCAAACCUUAUUUCAACAUACCAUUAUUAAUAUGACUAUAGAAUGGAGAAAUAACAAUACAUACUAUUCCGUUGCCAAUGGCUGACGCAUUUGAUAUUAACAGAUCUUGCUUUCUUUGAACAGAUUUGCAGCUUGCUUGUAAGAGUUCUCGUCCAAUGACAAUACUUUCUGUAAUCAGAACCAUAUAUAUCCACAGAAACUAAAAUCAAGAAACGACAACAUAAACAAAAAGAAAUUCAAAAAGUAAAUAGAAGUAGUUUAUAAACUAAACUUUACAAACAAAAUGACAUUUACAAUAAGAAAGAACAAAACAAUAACGUCAAUCACAAUCGAAAGGGGGCAAAGAGUGGCAACCUUGCACAAUUCCAUAUAAGUAUACAAACUAAAGGUCAUAUAUCAAACAAACUCAUAAAACCAACAUACAAUUACAUAUAUCCUUAGCUCCUAUGGAAAGAAAAAAAUACUUGUACUAUAUUAAUGGCCCUCUUUAAAAAAUUAGAGAAUAAGCAACUCAACAGCUGCAUUGAUAAUUACAAAAAAAAGUGCAUAACUUUUUUAUACUGAAAGACUAAAAAACUGAGCAAAUUAAACCUUAUUUGAAGAUGGAACACGUUUGCAUUUCACAGAACCAACUAACAAACGAACUCACAACCUUAUUUGAUAAGAAGUUUGAGUCACUUGCUCCAAAUCGUUCUCUUGACAAAAACAAAAACAAACACCCAAAAUAAGGAGCUAUGUUGGUUCCCAAACAUUAACAAUUGUUUCACUGGUAUCUUUCAUCAAACAGGUGGCGAUCGCUGCUACUACGCAGGAUUGAAGAUUAAGUAUCUGCAAAUUGACCAUAAAAUAAUAACAAAACCGCAUCAAAAUCCCAAUUUUCAAUCCCACUGAGCAAAACUAAUAUGUUAAUAUAGGAAAAUUUUCUUACAUAUUUCAAUAUAUCCAGAAAAAUGGUUUCUUUGGCUUAUGAACCUGACAUGGACACAUGCAACUCCCCUAUAGAAAUUUAAAAAAAAAAAAAAAACCCAACCUGAAAAACUAAAGGAAAUGAUUAGACCCAAUACUAUCUGAUGAAUUUCCAACAAAUUGAACUGGGCUUCAGAUAGAUCGGCAGAAAUUAAAAAUGCAUUCAAAUACAUGAACAAAUAUUAAAACACAAAAAUCAAGAGAAUUCAACUUUGCAAUAAAUUGGAUCCCAGAACAAAAUAAUUACCCUCUUGUUACUCCUUAGCUAUAAAAAUUCCUCAAUCUCUAUACUACGCAAACGAGUACAUAUGCCGAGGUCUUCCUAUGCUUCAGAAAACACACAAAGAUAUUGCGUAGAGGUGCGAUUCUGUCACUACAAAUCCACAAUUGGAAUCAAAUUCUAAACCAAUCUGAUAUAUCCGUCUCAGGACCGUACCGCUCAACAGACAUUUAAACAAUACACUAAGAAGGGAGUGUACAGUACUGACCAAACUAUAAGUGCAGAAAAAUUAGAUACAACCGCCCACUCGGCUACUUGUGUUCAUUAAAUUAGAUGUAUCAGUGAAAGGUAACUUCAGGGCUACUAAAACUGUUCACUAACGGCAAGGAAUCAAUUCUGGGAAAAAGUUCCGAUAGGACAGAAACGUAAAUUCAGGAAUAGCGGAUCCAUGGUGAUAUCAGAAAUUGUUAAUUAUAAUAUGAGGAUAGUGACUAUUAAUUACAAAGAUCAACAGUGUAGGACAAUGACAAUGAUAUUAGAUCACGUGUAAUCACAGAGACACAGGACUCGGCGCGCAAGAAGAUAAUAUGAUAAGAGAGAAAACGGAUUUGCUUUUGGAUAAGCAGGGAGAGAUUACAGCACAAGACACACGGAAAAGGUGAGACUCAUCGUCAAGAGUGAGGUUCCUAAAUAGGCGACGAGUGGACACGAUGGAGCAGCUAUGUAUAUAUAUAAUAACGAGAGAGAUGAGAGAUGGGGCUGUUUGAUAAUUUCAUAAGCACGGUACCACUAGGGUCACGUCACGAGCUAGGAUUCUUCGAGAGCUCUAGUCUUAUAUGUUCCAGAUGAGUCAGACUGGGAUAAUAAGGAACCAUCCGGAGGAGUUGACGUGUAUAUCGAGUUUUUUGAUUAGCCAAGCAGAAGAGCUCGGCAGUAGUCUUGCUGCCUUCUCACGCACUGCACACAUGCAGGUGAGUAGAGAGCGCGUACUAUCAGUACGAACAGACGUGUCUACUAUGGCAUCAUACUUCCGAUUCCGCUUCGAUCGGAUCAGCGGUGGCAGUGCAGGGACAUGGCUCCAGAAAUCCAUCCCUCUACUACACUCAAAUCAUGCAUCUCAUAAACCUCUCUAGUUCCAUAGUGUAUAACGUCCGUGAGCACAACCUCACUGUACUUGGAGAUCAGAGGCGGGCCACUGAAGCGAUCGACGCUGGAGACCCGCGAAAGGAGAAGUACAUAGACUGCCACUGACCUUAAGCUUAGGGGCUAUUAGUGGAUCCCAGAAAUUAUAAUUAUAAGCAUGACUCGCACGUUACUGUAGAGGGGAGACACUGCAUUAGAGUGUGUCAAUGGAUGAGAGGCAGAGUGCCACGAACGAGUAAGCCCACUCUCAGCCAAAACCCACCGAGCCCAAAUCAGACAAACAAUGCACACCCUAAACCCAAACCAGACACACACUCUAACUAUGCCAUGACAGAGAGAGCAUAUGAAUGUUCCAGUAUGCGCCGCUGACCAGUCUCAUGUCUCUCAAAGAGGUUUCGGAGAUGAUUUGGUUGAUACUGAAAAUGAGUGUCUAGCAUUCGGAACAGCCCCACCAUAUAUUUUAUAGAGUUAGACUCGAAUCGACAGAAUCUGACUUGAGCCAUAUUAGGAUAUAGAAUAGUAAUAGCAGAUAGUUCUAUGUAUAACACUCUGUAACUCUUAGAAUGGUGUGCUAUCGAAGGAUAACCCCUCUUGAUAAUCAUAAACAUGCAAUCUGCUCCCUUAACCUCUUCUCGAGCCAAAUUUACUAGGACCGAGCCCGGCAUCUGAUGAAUCAACCCAGCUCGAGUGUGUGGGAUGUGAUACUGACAACACACCGACAUCCAGUACGCUUGCGAGAAAAGUCAGGGCUAUAUAGAUCCGACUCACCAUCAUUAAGCUGAGUUAUCAUAUUGAGGACAGAAUCACGUCGUACAGAAGACCGUAUGAGACACAUGAGCUAUAUAUAUUAUAUGUAUAAAAUGAGGUGUCUCUGUCAAUCGAAGGGCGGAGACGAAGGGAUACGUCACAGAUCAGGGAGUAAUGGCUGAUCGCCGUGCACAAAGAGACUGUUAAGUAGAUUCUUUAAAUUGGAGAUUCCUAUCACUCUCCAUAUUAUGUACUAAAAUUUAAUAAUAUUUGCAGGAAAAAAAAUUACCCAAAAGAGCCUUCAUCUAUAAGGAAACUAAUGAAAAAUGCUUGAAAAACUUUGAGUUUUAACGAUAAGGACAAUCAAUGUUGAGAAAGAACACUCUGAAUGAAUCGUGAGAUGUUAUAAAGAUAACUAUAGAAUUGACUGGAUAUGCGCGCCGAGUCCACCAUGAUAUGAACGACGGGCGGUACAUGGAAUCGGAAUUAUACACUCCUGGCGUGACAGAGAUCAUAAUUGAUUGCAAUAUACUCGAGUCAUUCCACUUCUGUUCCGUCGUUAUACGCUUCUUCUUAAAAACAUCUUAUUAGAGACGAACUACUUAUUAGCGUUGCUAUAAUUUACAGUUCGCUGAAUUCAAGAUUAGCACUAGCAAAAUAUAUUUAAUGAACCACAUACCCAACCAUCGUGUCUUUCAUUGAAGCUAGCCUAAUCGGGUAGUCAAGACUCAGCUCUUUGUAACCAUAACCGACACUAAUAGGGGUGUCAAACAAGAUGAAGACAAAAGGCUGGGAUACCUACCAGACGACACGUAACGGGUGGAAAAGCAAGCAGGAAAGAAAAAGGUUGUAUAGAUACCCAACGGACACGUUAACACGUAUCGAUGGAGGGUAGAGUCCGCAGUUCUGUAUCUAUAGCGAGGAACACAGUAAGAAUUAAGGGACAUACCUUGAUACCAUGGUAUCCUGAGAGUAUAAGGUUGCUGAUGCUCCCAUGAUAUACAGUAUAUACACGCGGUUGUUGAUGAAUGCUAUGAGCAGCGGUGUGAUGAGUGAUUGAUAAAAUACAGUGCAGAUGCGUAUAUAUUAACAUCAUUACCUCGAUUGCUGUCGACGAGUCACUUCGUUGAGCGGCGUAAAGCGAAUGCAGACGCGCACACGAUAUUAAUGUCCCAUUACCAUCGGCAAAUACAGAAUAUGCAAGUGGACGACUAAUAUCGCGUGAUAUUCACGCAAAGUCCGCUCCAGGCUCGACGUCUAUUGGAGGAUUAUUCGAAGACUAAAGAGGUGACUCACGGCAGAAUGGCUAUAAUUAUAUUACUCGAUUUGUAAAUUUAGUUUGUUCAUCCCCUCCUAUACUUAUAAAAACAUCUAAUAGUCAGCUCCUUCGAUCAACAAAAACAAAAGUCAUCUGCAUCCAUUAUAUCGACCUACCAGGAACCUAUCUGAUCCGGGACAUGACAUCAUGUAAUCUAAAUCGUCCAUCCCAGUGUGUGGCGACGACUUCUUGUUUUUCAUGCUUGCUUCGAGUGAAGACGUCCACACGCAAAAGAUCUUCAUCGUCCACUUUAUUUCACGCGGUGAUUCUUUUAUUGGCUUUAAAUUAUUUUGAUUAGUCAACAUUUAUUGGUCUUCCAUGGAUUUUUGUCAGGACUCAAUACUAGUGACUAUUCAACCCUACUUGAUCCUGUCACUUCAUCUUCAAUAUGAUUUCGCAUAGGCACUGGUAUUUACAUAUUUAACUUUACUUUUUAUUCUUAAUUUUAUUGAAUAACUUGAAGAAGAUUAAUUAUACAAAAUUAACAAAAAUGUGUCAAAAAUAAAAAUGAUUGUGUGAAUAAGACUAUCUUUCACAUAAAAUGUGGUUUCUUUUACACAAUCGAGCUAGAAACUUAUCUCUUAUACAUUGAAUUGGCUAAUGAUUUACACUCAUCUUUCUGCCUUUUUCAUUGACUAAGGUAAACCUAAACCUAGUGAGAAAAUGUGGUAGCUAUUACAAUCGAACGCUAGGAAUUCGUCUCCGACAAUACACAUAUCUUUCACAUAAAAUGUGGUUUCUUUUACACAAUCGAGCUAGAAACUUGUCUCUUAUACAUUGAAUUGGCUAAUGAUUUACACUCAUCUUUCUGCCUUUUUCAUUGACUAAGGUAAACCUAAACCUAGUGAGAAAAUGUGGUAGCUAUUACAAUCGAACGCUAGGAAUUCGUCUCCGACAAUACACAUAUCUGAUAAAGAGAGUUCAAAUUGGUUUUGCUUUUAGCAGUUUAUAAAAUAUGUCAAAUCCAACGAAAUCAAACCAAACUAAUUAUAGUUUGAUUUAGUUCAACCUAAAAUUGCAUAUUUUUUUCAUUAUAAAAGUCUUACCAAACUUCUUAGAUUGAUUUUUAUACAACGAUAUAUUUUUGCAUAGCUAAAAGUUAAAUCAAAACUUCUUGGAUUGGGGUGGGGUAUAAAUUUGUAUCGAACUCGUCAUUCUUGAGAUUCAAAUUUAAGACCUAUUAUUUAUAAGUAAAGAGAAAUAUCGUUAGAUCAUAAUAUUAAAUGACAACCGAUUGGAUGGUUUAGUUUGAACAAUAUUUUCAUACAACGAUAUAUUUACAUUAAAUUGAGAUAAAAUGGACAAGAAUGCUCUCCGGACUCCUAUUUAGGAACUUCCACCACUAUCUCUGAGAGCUCAUUUAAAGACUUUAAAAAAAUAUUCGAGUCCUUAAAAGAGUAUAUAUUUUUUUGUAUGAAAAGUUCUUAUAGUGUAAUCUUCAAAUUAAUAUAAAAACUAAAAUAUUGAAAAAUUAUUAUUCAUGGAUGAAAAAACUAAAAAAAUAUCUCUACCCUUAGUUUUUCAAAAAUUAAAAAAUUAAAAAAAAAAAUAACGUGAAAAAACCAAAAAUGAAAAUAGAAAACUUCAUUUUAAUCCUUAAAAAAGAUGAGUUUUAGAUUAUAACCAUAUGUAAGAUUAAAAUCCAAUUUUAGUCCUUAGCACAUUUAAUCAUAUCAUUUAUUAGUGUAUUUUGAUGGUUUAUUUUAUCUUUUUAUUUUUAUUUUAAUGUAUUAAUUACAUUUAAAUUUAAUUUUUAUUUCAUUCAUCAUAAUAUAUUUUAAUGUCUACAUUUAGGCAACUAAUUUUUUAUAAUAUAUAUUCCGAUAACAAUUUUGUAUGUUCUUCAUUUAGGUACAUUAAUACAUUUGAAUAUUUUGGUAUAUCCAUCGGUACAAACAUGUAGUUACAUUGAUUCAAUAUAAUGCAUUUCGGUCAAUAUAAUGCAUUUCAUUACGUACACUUUGGUACACACAUUUGAGUAUUGACUUUUAGGUACAUUAAUUCAAUUAUUAUAUUUCGGUAAAUACAUUUAGGUACAUACAUUUUGGUAUUGAUAUUUAGGUACAUACAUUUUUGGUAUUGACAUUUAGGUACGUACUUUGGUACAUACAUUUCGGUACGUAUAUUUUGGUACAUACAUUUCGGUAUUGAUAUUUAGGUACAUUAAUUCAAUAUAAUACAUUUAGGUUCAUUAUAAUAUAUUUCGGUACAAUCAUGUAGGUACAAAUAUUUCAGUACAAAAAAGUCAAUUUUAUAUAUUUUGGCAGAAUCAUUUAUGUAAAUGUAUGUAUUUAUAUAUUUUUGUAUCACAAAUUUCUUUUAAUAUUUUCUCAUUUACGUUCAUUUCUAAUUAAAAAAAUAAAUAUGUGCAUAUUAAUAAAAUUAAAAUUUAAUAUGGAGAGAUUAAAUAAAAAUACAUAUUAAAUAACAAAAAUUGAAUGUAAAUUUUGAUAAUAGUACACUCAAGAGAUUAAAUUGAAUAAUUAAUCUAGCACCAAUUUUUUUUUUUAAUUUUAAUAUUUUGCAAGAACUAAUGUUCAAAAACCCUAAAUGAAAAUUUCACGUGGGUGGGAUCAACAAACAAGGUAAAAGACAAAAAUCCAGCUGGUGUGCAGCAAGGACAAAAAAACCAGCUGCUGUGCAGCACUGCAUUCCCACGUUUAUGGGUCACUUUUCUGCACAAAAUCAACAGAGGCCCACUAUACAAUUUUCACAUUUGAGAUUUUCUUUCGAAGUAUUUAGCGAGUUUUUAUAUAUUGAAAUAUUUUUUGACAAAAAAAAAACAUAUUGAAAUAUUUUACAGACUUUAAUUUCGACUUAUUAAAAACUUUCUGUCUCUAUAUUUAGAGAUUGUACUAUUGUAAAGACUUGGUUUAGGUUCUUUAUUGGAGAUGCUCUAACAUAACAAAAAAGUAAAAGCAGAGUAAGAUCACAUAAAUAUAAAUUCAUCUUAUCUGCAAUCUCUCUCAACAACUUUAGACGAUGGUGGAGACCUAACUUUAACAAAGUAAAUUAAAGAUAUUUAAAAAAAUAAUAAUAACAACUUCAUUAGUACAUUCAAAAGUGUAUGUACAAUAAGGAGAUUCAAAUUAGAUACGUAUUCGCUCUUCAGUACUAACGAGAGUCAUUAGAUAAAAAAAACCUCCAAGUAAUUGUAGACAAUUGGAAUUCACGGAACGACUAUACAAAUUCUACAUAUGUCAUUUGGUUUACAAGUUGAUCACUACGUGUACUUUCAGUAGUAUCUUGGAUUCUUGUUUACAUUUUUUUUGGAUUUGCAGAUCCUCCAUCUUCUAAGAUAAGAGGAAAAUUUUCCAACAUCGGCUUCCUUGUAAUUGCUGUAAUGAGAUGAGUUGUUGCUUUCAUGGGGCAGGUCCUAAUGAAUCCUAUAGCUAUUGGACCCCAUCCCACAUGAAAAAUGUUAUCGGUGGCACCAUUGUGUUUGGCAAUCAAUAAUUAAUGAUGGGGUUGGGAAGAAAGGAAGGAUUUAUAUACUCAAGGCAGGGGAUUAAUUAAUCGCCAUCAUACCAUUCAUCUCGAUGAAUAUAUUGAUAUAAUAGGAGGGAAGUCCAACGAAAUACCUAAGUUAGAAUUCACAAGCAAUUUGAAACCAUUAAAAUUUGAGAAAAUCUCAAAAUCUACUGAUUGAAUAAUAUAAAAGGAAUAAUGCUAGAAAUACCAUUUAUUUAAAUUGUGGUAAUGCUAUGAAGACUAUCUAUUUAAACUAUGUGGAGUGGUUGUUGACGAUUGAGUUAUUACAUAAAUGUUGAUUAACAUGCUUAUUUUCUAUUGGUGACAUAUCAAAUUAUAAAUAGCACAACAAUGCAGCAAGCGGAGAAUCCCUCAUAUUAGCAUCAUGUAGACUUACGUACAAUAAUUUAAGUAUCAAACAAAAUGUAUACUUCAUUGUGGAACCAACCAUGAUGAAUGAAAUAAUGACAUAAGAGUAAAUAAGAAAAGAGCUUGACCUAAUAUAGAUAUUUCAUAUCCAAAAUGUCAUUACGAUUAAAACCAAAUUGUAGCAAAGAGGUUUUCAUUAAACCCCUCCAAAAUUUAUUGAUUGAAUAAUAUAUAAGCUCACAACUCUAACACGUAGAAUUAAUACAAAAUUACUAAAAAUAAUACCCUAAAAUCUUUGAAUGUUGAUUUAACCUGGUAAAAAGAGAGAAUUCGACCUAAAAAGCUCAGACAUCACAACAAAGCAGUGGGUUGAAUUUGUGACAUUGUUCUUUAUGAAAUGCCGGUUCUACACAUAAAUAUCACGUGAAUUAAUGAUAACAACCAGAAUUCUCCCUUAAAGCAGCAUGGGCAAAUUCAUGAGCUGCAUGGUACUUGGCUACAUGAGAGUAUGUCUUUCUUAAAAUUGUGACAUAUCACGACUUUUCGUAUUUAAGAAUUUCUUGUGUACCAAACAAUUUAUGUUUGAGUAUGGGAAUUUUUAGUAUACACCGAUGUUCUUAGUUAUUAUAUUUUUUAUCACACAUUCAACUGUAUCACAAUAUUAGAUUCUCGUGAUUGCACAUUCAACUAUACCACAUAACUCAACUGAACCAAAGAAGUAUAGUAGAAUUUUGAGAAUUUCGCCAUCUCCGGCAAGGGUUUUUUUUAUCACAAAUGGUCCCUGACAUUGAUCAAACACAUCAUUUUGGUCCCUGACAUUGAAAAUCAAUAGAAAUGGUCCUUGACUCAAUCGUUUCUUAACCAAAUUCGACCCAUAGUAUAUCAAAAUGAAGAUAGGAAAGUGUAGAACAAGAUUAUAACUAUUUUGAAGGCCAAUCAUUGCCGGAGAUGGCCGGAAAAUAGUCUCAAAUGUGACUGGUCCGCCGAAAAACUGAAAAACUCGCCGGAAACUGGGUAAACUUUAAACGUUCAUAACUUCUUCAAUAAUCAACAAAAUCGAGUGAUUCAAAAACAAAAAUCAUACUUCUUGACGAGACGAAGAGAAUGGUAUCUUUAUGGAUGACUACCUCGCCGUAGUUUGGCCGGAAAACGGCUCGAAAUUAGAUAACCAUUUUCGAGUUAGCCAAUUUCGAGCCGUUUUCCGGCCAAACUACGGGGAGUUAGCCAUUAACAAAGAUACCAUUCUCUUCACCUCGUCUAGAAGUAUGAUUUUCGUUUUUGAAUCACUCGAUUUCGUUGAUUAUUGAAGAAGUUAUGAACGUUUAAAGUUUACCCAGUUUCCAGCGAGUUUUCCAGUUUUUCGGCGGACCAGUCACAUUUGAGGCUAUUUUCCGGCCAUCUCCGGUAAUCAUUGGGCUUCAAAAUAGGUAUAAUCUUGUUCUACACUUUCCUAUCUUCAUUUUGAUAUAUUAUGGGUCAAAUUUGGUUAAGAAUCGAUUGAAUUACGAAGCUUUGAAAAUUGCCCAAAGAGUUUUUAACGGAAGGACCAUUUGUGAUGUGUUUGAUCAAUCUCAAGGACCAUUUCUAUUGAUUUUCAAUGUCAGGGACCAAAAUGAUGUGUUUGAUCAAUGUCAGGGACCAUUUGUGACAAAAACUCUUUAAACAAAGAUCUAACUGUACCAGCUACUCCGAACGUGACAUCUGUGAAAUUGUGGUACGUGAAUUGGAAUUCAAGAUAGGGGGAGUAUCCAUGAAAUCCUAAUCUAGGCUUGUUUCCACCUUUGGAUUUCUGUUUACCUGACACGUGAGUGAUAAGCUUUGUGAUCCGACGGUGGAAGAUUUGUCAACAACAUGAUAGGGUUUUAAGUCAUUGAUUUGGACUUGGAUAAUUACUAUGGUUGAUUUUGAAUGUGUGAAGUAAGGUUUGUUGGAAGCACUAUUAGAGAUGGAAUAAUUGAUUUACUCCAUUGAUUUACUCCAUUGAACAAAAAAAUUGAAGUGAACUAGAUGUUGUAUCUUAUCUAAUUUUCUUAUCUAAUUGGUUCACUUCAAUUUUUUUGUUCAAUGGAGUAAAUCAAUCAAAAUUAUGUUACUAGAUGUUGUAUCUUAUCUAAUUUUCUUGGAGGUUAUCAUGCAGGUUUGAGGCUUUAAACUUAAGUAGUGUGGGAGAAUAAAUUGGUAUUGAAUUUGUCAUCAACGAGAUUUGAAUAUAAAACCUCGCAAUUACAAGUGAAAAAAAUAUAUCACUAGAUUAGUACUAAGUGACUUUAAAAUACAUUUUGUUAACCACCAUACCUAUCUUUGGGAGUGUACAAGUUAACGUGUACAACAACAACAACAACAACAACAAAGCCUUUUCCCACUAAGUGGGGUCGGCUAUAUGAAUCCUAGAACGCCAUUGCGCUCGGUUUUGUGUCAUGUCCUCCGUUAGAUCCAAGUACUCUAAGUCUUUUCUUAGAGUCUCUUCCAAAGUUUUCCUAGGUCUUCCUCUACCCCUUCGGCCCUGAACCUCUGUCCCGUAGUCACAUCUUCGAACCGGAGCGUCAUUCGGCCUUCUUUGCACAUGUCCAAAUCACCGGAGCCGAUUUUCUCUCAUCUUUCCUACAAUUUCGGCUACUCCUACUUUACCUCGGAUAUCCUCAUUCCCAAUCUUAUCCUUUCUCGUGUGCCCACACAUCCCACGAAGCAUCCUCAUCUCCGCUACACCCAUUUUGUGUACGUGUUGAUGUUUCACCGCCCAACAUUCUGUGCCAUACAACAUCGCUGGCCUUAUUGCCGUCCUAUAAAAUUUUCCCUUGCGCUUCAGUGCCCUACGACGGUCACACAACACGCCGGAUGCAUUCUUACACUUCAUCCAUCCAGCUCGUAUUCUAUGGUUGAGAUCUCCAUCUAAUUCUCCGUUCUCUUGCAAGAUAGAUCCUAGGUAGCGAAAACGAUCGCUUUUUGUGAUCUUCGCUAGAUUGCUCCGGUCAUUAGUGUGGAUAAAUAUAUAAAUGGAUAGAGAUAGGAAAGCAAACACAAGAUGUACGUGGUUCACCCAGAUUGGCUACGUCCACGGAAUAGAAGAGUUCUCAUUAAUUGUGAAGGGUUUACACAAGUACAUAGGUUCAAGCUCUCCUUUAGUGAGUACAAGUGAAUGAUUUAGUACAAAUGACAUUAGGAAAUAUUGUGGGAGAAUGAUCUCGUAAUCACGAAACUUCUAAGUAUCGGAGUGUGGUGUCGUCUUGACUUGUCUUAUCUGUCUCAUAGGUAGAUGUGGCAUCUUCUCUGGAAGUACUCUUCCUCCAUCCAGGGGUGGUAUCUUUAACUGGUGGAGAUGCACAAGGUAAUGUAUCAAUUUCACUUGAAGCUUACUUGUAGUUUCAUGCUUGGUCAAGCGCGAUACAAACCAUGUAGUAGGAGUCCCCCAAGUCGCCGAGCUAGGGGGUCUGCUGAAAGAGGUGACAGACAAGGUAAGCAAUCAGAGCUCCGACUGAUUGUUCACCUUCUCCCCAUCUUGCAGCAGCAUGAAGGAUAAAGAGAAGAAAAAUGAGAAGAGAUGAUAUGAGAUACUUUUGCUUUUGAAGAAGUAACUUUCCACAGGCUUAUUCUUGAACUGAGCUGGAGGGUUUUCUGGUUUCCUCCAGAGUAUAAGGCCGACUGAAGAAUUUGAGGGUCAAAACAAGUCCAUCAAAUCUAGAGUACGUUCCACCCUGCUGAUAUGGGAUACUUUUGCUUUUGACAGAGUAAUGGAUGUAUCGGCACGUGUGCUGUUACGCUUGUCUCCACAUGCUUCCUUGUAUCCUUCGCACUUGCCCUAUCUGUUCCUCAAGCAGAUGCGGAAUCUUCCCUGGAAACAUAAGAUGUUGAAGAUGAGUACUCGAGAGCAAUGCCAGGUAAGUAAUCAGGUAAGGGGUUCCAGGAAGUCAGUUCCUGGCUGGAAGCUUGAUUCCAAGUGCUGACUGAUUGCUCUCUUUCUCCUUGUCUUGCAGGUAAAAACAAGGCCAAAGGAAAAGACAGGGAAAAAGCAUGAUAUGGGAUACUCUUGCUUUUAACCCUGAUGAUAUGAGAUAUUCUUGCUCUAGUAUAGCUUGUUUGCAGAGGUAUUAUCGGGGGGAAAGAAAGCUAAAUAUUUCGAAAUGCUUCGUUGGGAGUGCCCUCUCAGAUAUGAUGAAGGGUUGAGCAUUUUUGCAGGUCUGCCUGUCUGUUGGGGAUGGAGGUCGACAUAUAUAGGAGUCUCCCUAACAAGUAGUAAUGCUAUUCCUUUACCCUGCUUGGUCAUAGCACGGUAGUGGGAGCUGCCAGUUUCACAUGUUUUAACUAUGUCAGAGAACUUUGAAAAAGUGGUCUGUGGUAUCUGGCUCUCGAGAUUCGGAGAACGAUGCCUCUUCGAUUUUUGAGAAAGCAAUCAUGCUGCUCUCGAGAUUCGGAGAGCAGUGUCUCUUCGAUUUUUGAGAAAGUAAUCAUGUUGGGAGUCUGGCUCUCGAGAUUCGGAGGCGGUGCUUCUUCGAUUUUGGAGCAAGCAAUCUUGUUGGGAGUGUUGUCUCGAAUGUGAGUAAAGGUUGGGCAUGUUUGCUAGUCUACCUUGCCACGAAGCACAAAGGUUGACACACAGGGACUUUCCAAUUAUCCAGCAAUGGUACUGUUCCUUUACCCUCUCUUCGAUUUUGAGAAAGUAGUCAUGUUGGGAGUCUGGCUCUCGAGAUUCGGAAGACGGUGUCUCUUCGAUUUUGGAGCAAGCAAUCUUGUUGGGAGUGUUUUCUCGAAUGUGAGUAAAGGUUGGGCAUGUUUGCUAGUCUACCUUGCCACGAAGCACAGAGGUUGACAAACAGGGACUUUCCAAUUAUCCAGCAGUGGUACUGUUCCUUUACCCUUGUGGGUAAUAAUAUGGUAGCUAGACCUUCAAAAUUUAUGGGUCUAAACUUUGUUAGUGCUGUUUCUUUGCUAUUCUUUUACCCUUCUUGGUCAGAGCGAUGUAGUGGGAGCUGCAAGCUUCACGUGCUCAACUUUGGCAGAGAACUUUGGCAAAGUUAUCUGUGGUACCCAUGAGCUAUUGUUGCGUGUGGGAAGUGGGUGAUUGAACAGUAAGAUUCAUGUGCUUUCUACUUCACCAGAAGUCUUCGACAGAAUGCCCAUAAUUUCUGCAAAGCUGAGUGUGCGUGUGACAGGUGCUGACAAGGCUAGAAAAGUAGGUGCCUCUUCGAUUUCUGAGAUCGGCCCUCGUGGUCUAUGGGGAGCCCAGCUUUUGAGAAAGCGAGCGCCUCUUCGAUUGAUUCGGAGAACGAUGCCUCAUCGAUUUUUGAGAAAGCAAUCAUGCUGGGGGUCUGGCUCUCGAAGAUUCGGGGAGCAGUGUCUCUUCGAUUUUUGAGAAAGUUUGGGAGUUUGGCUCUCGAGAUUCGGAGGGCGGUGCCUCUUCGAUUUUGGAGCAAGCAAUCUUGUUGGGAGUGUUUUCUCGAAUGUGAGUAAAGGUUGGGCAUGUUUGCUAGUCCACCUUGCCACGAAGCACAGAGGUUGACACACAGGGACUUUCCAAUUAUCCAGCAAUGGUACUGUUCCUUUACCCUCUCUUCGAUUUUUAAGAAAGUAGUCAUGUUGGGAGUCUGGCUCUCGAGAUUCGGAGGACAGUGCCUCUUCGAUUUUGGAGCAAGCAAUCUUAUUGGGAGUGUUUUCUCGAAUGUGAGUAAAGGUUGGGCAUGUUUGCUAGUCUACCUUGCCACGAAGCACAGAGGUUGACACACAGGGACUUUCCAAUUAUCCAGCAGUGGUACUGUUCCUUUACCCUUGUGGGUAAUAAUAUGGUAGCUAGACCUUCAAAAUUUAUGGGUCUAAACUUUGUUAGUGCUGUUUCUUUGCUAUUCUUUUACCCUUCUUGGUCAGAGCGAUGUAGUGGGAGCUGCAAGCUUCACGUGCUCAACUUUGGCAGAGAACUUUAGCAAAGUUAUUUGUGGUACCCAUGAGCUAUUGUUGCGUGUGGGAAUUGGGUGAUUGAACAGUAAGAUUCAUGUGUUUUCUACUUCCCCAGAAGUCUUCGACAGAAUGCCCAUAAUUUCCGCAAAGCUGAGUGUGCGUGUGACAGGUGCUGACAAGGCUGGAAAAGUAGGUGCCUCUUCGAUUUCUGAGAUCGGCCCUCGUGGUCUCUGGGGAGCCCAGCUUUUGAGAAAGCGAGCGCCUCUUCGAUUUCUGAGAUCAGCCUUCGAGGUCUUUGAGCAACCCAACUUUUGAGAAAGCAAACGCCUCUUCGAUUUCUGAGAUCAACCCUCGUGAUCUCUAAGCAGCCCAGCUUUUGAGAAAGCAAACGCCUCUUCGAUUUCUGAGCAGGCGCCUCUUCGAUUUCUGAAGCUCCGUCGAGUGCAGAUUUUUAUAGGGGCUGGCAUUAAGUUCCAAAGCACACUUGAAUCUCCACCAGUAGAAGCUUCAUUCUUGCACUUCUAAGAUCUUGAUUUGUCCGACCUCUUCUCUCUUCAACACCUUUGAAAAUGUCUGGCCCCUCCGACUGUCGUUUUGACUUGAACCUUGUUGAAGAGGCAGCCCCGCAUUCUCCAGACAACAUAUGGCGCCCAUCCUUCGUCUCCCCUACUGGUCCUCUUACCGUUGGGGAUUCCGUGAUGAAGAAUGAUAUGACCGCUGCGGUGGCGGCCAGGAACCUUCUCACUCCCAAAGAUAACAUACUACUUUCCAAACGGUCUGAUGAGUUAGCUGUUAAGGAUUCGCUGGCUCUCAGUGUUCAGUGUGCAGGUUCUGUGUCUAAUAUGGCCCAACGCCUAUUUGCUCGAACCCGCCAAGUUGAAUCAUUGGCGGCUGAAGUGAUGAGUCUCAAACAGGAGAUUAGAGGGCUCAAGCAUGAGAAUAAACAGUUGCACCGGCUCGCACAUGACUAUGCUACAAACAUGAAGAGGAAGCUUGACCAGAUGAAGGAAACUGAUGGUCAGGUUUUACUUGAUCAUCAGAGAUUUGUGGGUUUGUUCCAAAGGCAUUUAUUGCCUUCGUCUUCUGAGGCUGUACCGCGUAAUGAAGCUCCAAAUGAUCAACCUCUGAUGCCUCCUCCUUCAAGGGUUCUGUCCAGUACUGAGGCUCCAAAUGAUCCCCCUCCGGUGCCUUCUCUUUCUGGGGCUCUACCGACUGCUGAGACUUCUCCUAAGCAACAUUUGUGAAGGCUCCCUCUUGUGUGUUUAUUUUGACUCAUGUAUAUGUACAUAUUUAACUCCGCCUAUGUCUUACAUGGCCGGUCCCAAGCCCGGGUAAAGGAGGAGGGGGAGGGCGUCAGGUAGUCGACAGCCGGCACUCCAUGAUCACGUCGAAUCCUUAUGAAAAUGUAUAUGUACAUAUUUGUAGCUUAUUGGGGAUAUCAAUAAAUAAGCUUUCCUUCAUUUCAACGUAUUGUGUUAGAUACACCAAAGCCUUCUUCGCUAAGUUCUUUGAAUUUUCUUUUGUUGAAGCUUGUAUGUUGAAGCUUUCUGAGUGGAGCAUGUAGGUUGGGGUAGUGUUCCCUUAAUUUUCCGAGUGAGGAAAACUUCUCGGUUGAAGACUUGGAAAAUCCAAGUCACUGAGUGGGAUCGGCUAUAUGAAUCUUAGAACGCCAUUGUGCUCGAUCCUGUGUCAUGUCCUUCGUUAGAUCCAAAUACUCUAAGUCUUUUCUUAGAGUCUCUUCCAAAGUUUUCCUAGGUCUUCCUCUACCCCUUCGGCCCCGAACCUCUGUCCCAUAGUCGCAUCUUGUAAUCGGAGCGUCAGUAGGCCUUCUUUGCACAUGUCCAAACCACCGUAACCGAUUUUCUCUCAUCUUUCCUUCAAUUUCGGCUACUCCUACUUUACCCCGGAUAUCCUCAUUCCUAAUCUUAUCCUUUCUCGUGUGCCCACACAUCCAACGAAGCAUCCUAAUCUCCGCUACACCCAUUUUGUGUACGUGUUGAUGUUUCACCGCCCAACAUUCUGUGCCAUACAGCAUCACCGGCCUUAUUGCCGUCUUAUAAAAUUUUCCUUUGAGCUUCAGUGGCAUACGGCGGUCACAUAACACGCCGGAUGCACUAUUCCACUUCAUCCAUCCAGCUUGUAUUCUAUGGUUGAGAUCUCCAUCUAAUUCUCCGUUCUUUUGCAAGAUAGAUCCUAGGUAACGAAAACGGUCGCUCUUUGGUAUUUCUUGAUCUCCGAUCCUCACCCCUAACUCGUUUUGGCCUCCAUUUGCACUGAACUUGCACUCCAUAUAUUCUGUCUUUGAUCGGCUUAGGCGAAGACCUUUAGAUUCCAACACUUCUUUCCAAAGGUUAAGCUUUGCAUUUACCCCUUCCUGAGUUUCAUCUAUCAACACUAUAUCGUCUGCGAAAAGCAUACACCAAGGAAUAUCAUCUUGAAUAUGUCCUGUUAACUCAUCCAUUACCAACGCAAAAAGGUAAGGACUUAAGGAUGAGCCUUGAUGUAAUCCUACAGUUAUGGGAAAGCUUUCGGUUUGUCCUUCAUGAGUUCUUACGGCAGUCUUUGCUCCUUCAUACAUAUCCUUUAUAGCUUGGAUAUAUGCUACUCGUACUCCUUUCUUCUCUAAAAUCCUCCAAAGAAUGUCUCUUGGGACCCUAUCUAUCAUACGCUUUUUCCAAAUCUAUAAAGACCAUGUGUAAAUCCUUUUUCCCAUCUCUAUAUCUUUCCAUCAAUCUUCGUAAGAGAUAGAUUGCCUCCAUGGUUGAGCGCCCUGGCAUGAACCCGAAUUGGUUGUCCGAAACCCGUGUCUCUUGCCUCAAUCUAUGCUCAAUGACUCUCUCUCCAGAGCUUCAUUGUAUGACUCAUUAGCUUAAUACCCCUAUAGUUCAUGCAAUUUUGUACGUCGCCCUUAUUCUUGUAGAUAGGCACCAAAGUGCUCGUUCGCCACUCAUUUGGCAUCUUCUUCGUUUUCAAAAUCCUAUUGAAAAGGUCAGUGAGCCAUGUUAUACAUGUCUCUCCCAAAAGUUUCCACACUUCGAUUGGUAUAUCGUCUGGGCCUAUUGCUUUUUUAUGCUUCAUCUUCUUCAAAGCUACAACCACUUCUUCAUUCCGGAUUCGACGAUAAAAAGAGUAGUUUCUACACUCUUCUGAGUUACUCAACUCCCCUAAAGAAGCACUCAUAUCAUGUCCUUCAUUGAAGAGAUUAUGAAAAUAACCUCUCCAUCUGUCUUUAACCGCGUUCUCUGUAGCAAGAACCUUUCCAUCCUCAUCCUUGAUGCACCUCACUUGGUUUAGGUCCCUUGUCUUCUUUUCCCUUGCUCUAGAUAGUUUAUAGAUAUUCAACUCUCCUUCUUUGGUAUCUAGUCGUUUAUACAUAUCGUCGUAAGCCGCUAACUUAGCUUCUCU
rnacentral:lncRNA from 1 species